rnacentral:lncRNA from 1 species
UUUAGCUAAAUAAAGCAGUUUUAGUGUAUAGAUCAUUCCCCUGCAAUUUCACUGCUCAAUUCACUGUCAUUUAGGAGUUAAAUCACUUUGUUUCCGUUUAUGCAGCUCUAGCCACACCUCCCCUGGCUAUGAUUGACAGAGCCUGCAUGAAAAAAAAAAACUGGUUUCCCUUUCAAACAGAUGUAAUUUACCUUAAAUAAUUGUAUCUCAAUCUCUAAAUUGAACUUUAAUCCCAUACAGGAGGCUCUUGCAGGGUCUAGCAAGCUAUUAACAUAGCAGGGGAUAAGAAAAUCUUAAUUAAACAGAACUUGCAAUAAAGAAAGCCUAAAUAGGGCUCUCUUUACAGGAAGUGUUUAUGGAAGGCUGUGCAAGUCACAUGCAGGGAGGUGUGACUAGGG